rnacentral:rRNA from 1 species
UGGGGAAUAUUGCACAAUGGGCGCAAGCCUGAUGCAGCCAUGCCGCGUGUGUGAAGAAGGCCUUCGGGUUGUAAAGCACUUUCAGCGGGGAGGAAGGCGGUGAGGUUAAUAACCUCACCGAUUGACGUUACCCGCAGAAGAAGCACCGGCUAACUCCGUGCCAGCAGCCGCGGUAAUACGGAGGGUGCAAGCGUUAAUCGGAAUUACUGGGCGUAAAGCGCACGCAGGCGGUCUGUCAAGUCGGAUGUGAAAUCCCCGGGCUCAACCUGGGAACUGCGUGCGGAACUGGCAGGCUAGAGUGUGGUAGAGGGGGGUAGAAUUCCAGGUGUAGCGGGGAAAUGCGUAGAGAUCUGGAGGAAUACCGGUGGCGAAGGCGGCCCCCUGGACAAAGACUGACGCUCAGGUGCGAAAGCGUGGGGAGCAAACAGG